GUCUGUGGCCACACCACCCUGAACGCGCCUGAUCUCUCUGGUCACAGAAGCUAAGCGGGGCUGGGCCUGGUCAGUACUUGGAUGGGAGACAGAUCUUCAGAGGAGACUGCUCAGAGACA
rnacentral:rRNA from 1 species